CCUACGGGAGGCAGCAGUCGGGAAUAUUGCGCAAUGGAGGAAACUCUGACGCAGUGACGCCGCGUGCAGGAAGAAGGUUUUCGGAUUGUAAACUGCUUUUGACCGGGAAGAAAAAAGACAGUACCUGUCGAAUAAGCUCCGGCUAACUACGUGCCAGCAGCCGCGGUAGUACGUAGGGAGCAAGCGUUAUCCGGAUUUAUUGGGUGUAAAGGGUGCGUAGACGGAGAAGCAAGUUAGUUGUGAAAUCCCUGGGCUUAACUGAGGAAGUGCAACUAAAACUACUUCCCUUGAGUACUGGAGAGGAAAGUGGAAUGCCUAGUGUAGCGGUGAAAUGCGUAGAUAUUAGGAGGAACACCAGUGGCGAAGGCGACUUUCUGGACAGUAACUGACGUUGAGGCACGAAAGUGUGGGUAGCAAACAGGAUUAGAUACCCUUGUAGUC
rnacentral:rRNA from 1 species